AGUAUUUGCAAUUAUUCUAAGACCAAUUCUUGUCUUCUUCACAUAAGAUGAAGAAAAUGCCUGUUGGUCAGUUGCUGAGCUGGAACUGAACACAUAUUUGAAAGGACACCAACUGGCCAAAGUGAUUGUUUGGUUCUAAUGAGGAGGAUGGAAUGUUGUGGACCUCCAGGUAGGGAUGGAGUCAUGGACCCUCCCUCACCCAGGCAUGCCAGUCCCAUUCCUUCUAUCUUGGUUAAAUGGAUUCUUUUCUGCUCUUGGGUGAUGAAGUAUGGAAGAGAGCUGUCACUUUAUGAGCUUUGAGAUCCUGGAAGGCAAAACUUACAGAAGUCCAAGAAGUAGAGUCUGUACCAGUUUAUCAGCAGGUGAACCCAGUGAGGGUUAACCUGUGGGAUCUGGCCUCAAAAAGAACCUUACUAGAUAGCAUUUUCUGGAAAUAUUUCAUUGGUUGUGCUACAUUCAGGAGUGAACUUGUGUAUCCUGAUUUGAAGAACACGUCUUCAAUCAAGACUAGAAGAUGAAGAGUGGCAUGCUCACCAGAGAGGAAGACAGAGUUCUACAAGCAGCAUAAAAAGACAAAGAAGGACUUUGGAACUUUGGAAUUUUGGAACUUCUGAUCAUGAAGAUAUGUAAGAAUGUGUCAUACAUGUUAACAUCACAUAUAUGCAUGCAUAUGCUACACAGAAUUACACUUUAGGAAGAUGUCUCAUGGAAUGGGUUUAAGCAUAAAGAAACACUGCAAUCAAUGCCUCCCACCUGGCAAAAGGGCAAGCUUCCUAUUGUUGGCUCCAACAUAUGAGUUGGCCAUCAGGAUCAAGGAUUACUUGGCAUCUCUGCCCAAGGUGAGGGUAUGACUGAAUUCAAGAGCCAGAAUCACAUCACUUGAGCAGAUGGACACAAACACCUAGAGCCAAAAUCAUAUGUGCCAAAGAUGGCUAAAGAAAGCAGGAGACCAAGCCACAAACAUCUAAACAGCUGUCAAAAUCUGGAUCAAGGAAGACAAUUUUGGCUAAGAACCAUCCAAGCACAGUCAGUUUUAGUCAGAGCUAUAUUUGUCUUCUGGAAAAGUCAGGAAUGUCACAAGAAUUUGUUGGAGUCAAAAACCUCAAGUCAUAGAAAUAGUAACAAAUAUUAAAAUGAAAUGUGACUGAAAGUUAAAUGAUUUUUUGGUUUUCUAUAUGUUUAUUUAUCACCUAUGUACAAAUUAACACUGUUUAUGGAAGUACAUUGGGAAGUACAUUAUGGAAGUCCAUUCAAAAUCCUCUUCUGAUUAACACAAAAAUUUUAAUUACACCAAUAUCAUCUUUGAAAGGAUAACUUUUUUUACAUAAGCACAAAUUAAUAGUUUAACUAAUUGGCCCCUGUUGUUAUAAACACUUAUUAACUUGCUAACCUUACAUAGCCCAAGAGUAAUUUUGUAAUAUAUGCAAAAAUCUCUCAAUUUUUCUCUCUCAAAUCCAGGAUUUCUCCCCUUCCUAGGGAAUUGCAGAAUUUUAAAUCUACACAGGCAAUUAUCUUAAGUGAGUUCAGCUUUGAUCUAAUAAAGAUCUAAAUC